rnacentral:rRNA from 1 species
GUGACGUAGAUUGCUUAUUGCACCACAUGUGUUUUUCUUUGAAACAAACUUGCUUUGGCGGUGGGCCCAGCCUGCCGCCAGAGGUCUAAACUUACAACCAAUUUUUUAUUAACUUGUCACACCAGAUUAUUACUUAAUAGUCAAAACUUUCAACAACGGAUCUCUUGGUUCUCGCAUCGAUGAAGAACGCAGCGAAAUGCGAUACGUAAUAUGAAUUGCAGAUAUUCGUGAAUCAUCGAAUCUUUGAACGCACAUUGCGCCCUCUGGUAUUCCGGAGGGCAUGCCUGUUUGAGCGUCGUUUCUCCCUCAAACCGCUGGGUUUGGUGUUGAGCAAUACGACUUGGGUUUGCUUGAAAGACGGUAGUGGUAAGGCGGGAUCGCUUUGACAAUGGCUUAGGUCUAACCAAAAACAUUGCUUGCGGCGGUAACGUCCACCACGUAUAUCUUCAAACUUUGACCUCAAAUCAGGUAGGACUACCCGCUGAACUUAAGCAUAUCAUAAAAGG